UGUCUUAAGCAUUAAUUACACUCUUGA
rnacentral:piRNA from 1 species